GGGUUUUCGAUUGGCUCCCUUCACUAAUCAAGGUAGGUGGUCAUCAUCUUCCUAUGAGGUCCUUCCUAGGAUUUUCAACUACUACCAUCCAUCUAUCCCUCCAAUCAACUCUCCUUCUAAUCAAGGCAGGUGGUCAAGGCCCUUGCCCUCCUUCGUUUCUCCGUCAUCCUCCCAUAAGGCCUGCUCCUUGGGUUUUCGACUACCAUCAUCCACCCAUUCUUCGAUCGGCUCUCCUUCAUUGAUCGAGGUAGGUGAUUGAGGCCCUUAAUCUCCUUCAUCUCUCCAUCAUCCUCUCGUAAGGA
rnacentral:lncRNA from 1 species